GGGUGAAACAAAACUGUCGACUUUUUUUGUUUGAUUUGUAAGGGAGGAAUAACUGAAACAAAUAAUAAACAUGACUUACUCCUUCCUGGAUGGGAAAAACAAGCAAGAAAGGAUUGAAGAAAAGUAAGUCUAUCUGGAAUAAACAAGGGCUCUGGCCCAAUUUGCUUCACAUGUAUGUUAGAUCCUCACAUUGGUUGGAAGUUCUUAGAAGCCAGCAGAAAAAUGAAGAAAAGAAGUUUCCUGCUCCAGGAACUACUUUUGGCUCCCGAUGGUUUUGAUUAACAUCCUACCUGUGACUUCUGCAGCUCAGCGCUGGUUUGCUUCUGCAGGCAAAGGAGAGAGGAGAAUAAGCUCCAACACCUGGCAUUGAAUCAUUACAGCUGGAGUGGAGAAGUCAUAAAAUGCACUGCCUUUUAAUGAAAUAGGAUAGAGGGAAUAGAUGCUUCCCUUCUCUUGCAGCAUCGCUGCAAAAAUAACUCGUCCGUGCUGAGUGGUGUUGGCUUCACAAGCUCUACAUGUCCCAGCUAGAGCAGAUGCAAAAUGACAACAAUGAUAGUGAUAAUAAUAAUAAUAAUAA